UUGUACGACGACCAGUUUGACCGAGUUUCCUGAGCUGGGGACCGAACCCAGGGCCUUGCGCUUCCUAGAGCUGAGACCUCCCGGUCCCUAAACGCUGUGGGUGUGGCUUGUCCCUUUCGCGACUCCUCCUUCUUCCCCUGGAAGGAGCCCACUCUGAGGAAUAAACAAAUACACUUGUGAUUCUAUCCUGUCUUGGGAGCAAAGAGAGGUACUUUUCAGCUCCUGCCAUCCAGGCUCUGGCGUGGUAUCACCCAAACAGGGACCUAAGAAUUGGGGAUCAACUGGAGGACACCUUGGAGAAGUGAGCUUAGAAAAGUGAAUCUAAGGAGCAACAUCCAUGGCAGAGAAGCCUUUAUUUCAUUAUGAUGAGGCCCGGGGUAGAAUGGAGUCUGUGCGGUGGCUAUUGGCUGCAGCUGGAGUAGAGUAUGAAGAGAAGUUUAUACACACUAAUGAAGACUUGGAGAAGUUAAGAAGUGCAUCGAUAUGUAUUCGGAAGGGUUGGCAGAUUUGAAUGAGAUGUUUAUUCUCUACCCAUUUGACCCACCUGGAGUCAAAGAAGCAAAUAUCGCCCUGAUGAAAGAGAAAGCAACAAACCGUUACUUUCCUGCCUUUGAAAAGGUGUUUGAGAGUCAUGGACAGGACUACCUCGUUGGGAACAAGCUAAGCAAGGCUGAUGUUCACCUGGUUGAAAUGAUCUACAAUAUGGAAGAACUAGAUAC
rnacentral:lncRNA from 1 species